rnacentral:rRNA from 1 species
UACGUAGGGGGCAAGCGUUGUCCGGAAUCAUUGGGCGUAAAGCGCGUGUAGGCGGCUCGAUAAGUCUGCUGUGAAAGUCCAGGGCUCAACCCUGGGAUGCCGGUGGAUACUGUCGAGCUCGAGUCCGGAAGAGGCGAGUGGAAUUCCUGGUGUAGCGGUGGAAUGCGUAGAGAUCCGGAAGAACACCGGUGGCGAAGGCGGCCUGCUGGGUUCUGGCUGACACUGAGGCGCGACAGCGUGGGGAGCAAACAGG